ACGCUCGACACCUACGGGAGGCAGCAGUUGGGAAUAUUGGACAAUGGGGGAAACUCUGAUCCAGUGACGCCGCGUGAAGGAAGAAGGUCUUCGGAUUGUAAACUUAUUUUGUCAGGGAAGAAAAAAUGACUGUACCUGAAGAAAAAGCACCGGCUAACUACGUGCCAUCAGCCGCGGUAAUCUGAGCGGGCUGGCAAGGC
rnacentral:rRNA from 1 species